ACUUCUGUGCUGGGUCGAGGAAGGAAUGGAACCACACCCCUCAGCCACGAAUACCUCCUCCAGUGCCCGAAGGAAAACGGCGUAAUUGAAAACGUUGUCAGCGGCACACGUCCAUUUUUAACUUGAGUGGCUUCUUUUCUGGGUGGAAGAGAGCGGUAUCAGACCAGGGGUGAGCAGUUGAAGGAGGAAUGAACAAAAGGCUUGCGCCACGGCUGCUCUGGCUUUGUGCGGUUUUUUUGUUGGUUUUUUUUUUUUUUUUUUCAGUUGCAUUUGUGCAUUGUUACAACACGGUUUAGACUGUAGGCCCUCCGGAGGGCAGGCUUGUGCCCACGAGAAAGCAUAUAGGAAGAACUAUUGUCAGCAUCUGUGGAAAAAGCCUUAGCUUUACUCCCCCAUGGAAGAAAGCAAACGAAAGCCGCCCCAUGAAUUUAACUUGAUAGAUGUUGAUUCUCUGCCUGAAGAAGAGAACCAAGCUGGGAAAGCUGGACUGGAAAGUAGGAAGAGUUUGCUUCCAUAAGACCAAUGGUCUGUCUGUGACAGACAGUGGCUCAGUUUUGACAAGCAUGUAGAGAGUACAUACAUUGGCCGAAUCCUGCAUUGGAGGUCAGAGAUAUAAAGAUUUUAUGACUUGGAAUAACUGAAUCUCACUGUCUCGUCCCAACAUGACCCCAAAGAGAAUGACUUGACGGGUUAAAUGUAUGUUUGGGCUCUAAAGUUGUACAGAUCUAGAUUCAGAACAAGGUUUGCCACAGAAUCACUGUGUGACUUUGGACAGGGGAAAAGUAAAUCUAAGUAGAUGUUCUCAUGUUUCCCCACUUCACGCUAGUACACUACCUCAGUGUGCUGUGCUAGGGGAGAAUCUGCCUGGACUGCGCACUGGAGGAGUUUAAGGUCUUGGAGCCUACGUGGAACAUGCCCAACUUACUGGUCACCAUUAUAAUCUCACCAGGAUACCAUAUGGUCAGUACUGUAUUAUAGGUAAUCUAAUACUAGCUACAAGAAUUUUGUUGGAACCAGUGACUCCAAGCUCCUUCUAUAUAGCAAAUCUUCAACUAGGUUAGCUACUGCAGAACAAAACUGCUUUUGGUUUUAGCUGCUUGUUUUCCUCCUCUUUGGUCACAUGGCUUAUUAUUUCUAUUUUUAUAGUCAACACUUGGCUAAAUGGCAAGUACUUGCAGGGUGUCAUUUAUCAAAAUCUGUUUUAGUUUUAAUUAAUUAGUUAAUUUAGUCUUCUUUAUGCUAUGGAUUAAAAAAACUCUUUGUAUCAGAGAGAUGGUACUUAAUAUGUUUUAGCUUUUCGUCCAUAAUCCAGUUGAUAAGAGGUGUUUUUUUUUUUUACAUUUUAUUGAAGUAUAGUUGACUUACAGUGUUGUGAUAAUUUCUGCUGUACAACGAAGUGAGUCAGUUAUACACACAUCCAUUCUCUUUCAGAUUCUUUUUCCAUAUAGAUUAUCACAGAAUAUUAGGUAGAGUUCUCUGUUCUGUACAGCAGGUCCCCAUUCACCAAUCAUUCCACAUACUUCAGAAUAAGAGUUUUAAGAACUAUUGUAUUUUAUGUAGAUAAUUAUGUAAUUUGCUAUUUGCAUAUGUAAGGAAUCUUUGAAUAUUCAUGAGGAAUAAAGGCUUUGAAGUCAGAAAAGGUGGGAUCCAAAUCUUGGCUCCAACACAAGAUGGUUUAGAAAUAUGUAAGAAAAAAGGAUGUAUACAUGUAUGUAUGACUGGGUCACCCUGACUGUAGAAGAUUGGCAGAACACUGUAAAGCAGCUAUAAUGGAAAAAAUAAAAA
rnacentral:lncRNA from 1 species